UUAUUCUUGUCUAAGACCAAAAAGGAAUGAGAAAAAUAAUGUUUGAUAAAGAUAUUGCAAUUCCUCUAACAAAUUUCUGUGAAGUCUUGCUAGCUGGUAUAAAAUGCGAACUUAUCAUCACUGCCAACCACUAAUGCCAAUUCUUGACCUUGUUUCCCUCGAAAAGAAUACUUUUACACAUGUAGUUAUUUAUAAAAGAGGGACAACUUCCAUGGUUCUAAAGUCAAAACUACACAAUAAUAAAUAGCUCAAACUCAUGCACACCAUCAGCCAAAUAACUACAGAGACUCCAAGUGGAACCAUGUAGCACUGGUCUUACAAACAUCUCAUUAUAAACACGUCUGGAUCUGGGGCUCUUGCUCAAUUGAUCUACCAACUUCAGCUACCUCGUCUGUUGCUAUCUUCCAUAUUUUAAUCUCCUCUCCAACAGCUGUCUUACGUCCAUUAUCAGACCCUCAACCUGAAGAAUGUAUCAAACACAAUUAUGUGAUGCCUCAUUGACUCCAACCUUCUUAAGAGUAGUAUACUUGAAACAUCAUAAUACAUAUGAAAACAUUACACUUUCGUACAUUAUAGACAAGUGAUGGCUUGACUGAAUUAAUCAAGCACAUGUUAUGUUUUGUGUUUUGACAACAAGCCAUAUACAAAGAGUAAGAAACACAUGUUAUGUUUGGUGUUAUGUUUGCUACUCUUCCAACUCAGUAGCAUACCUGCCAGUAUAGAUCACCUAACUUUCUUCAUAAGUGUCACUACCAGAAAAAACCUACAAACAAAAACUAACACCGCUGUCAGCCAUGGCUGCUGCCAUGUGCAUGCAGUCAUGCAUGCUACGGAUCUCAGGCUUGACCUCACAUAUCUCCUCCUUAACCGUGUAGUUGCAGCGUUGGCCCAGCAGCAUGCCACUGCCAAUGCCACGCUAGUGAUCAGCAUCAAGGCGACCUCGGCAUCAAUGAAAUGGUCUUUCCCCUGUUCUUUCAGCGGGAGGUAUACUUUCCCAAAACUGAACAUCUAGACUUCUCAUGACAAAAUAUUUGAACCCACCCGAGGAUUUGAACUUAAUUGGCGCAUGUAUACAUUUUAUUUUUUGGCAAGCAACUUGGGGAAUGAUCACCCUUUAAUCUGAAUAAGAAAAAUACAAAAAUCAUUUAUCACUGUACCCAAAGUUUGACCACUACUAUAUUGUUCCUGUAGUGUCUGCUUUAUUCUGAAAAACUGUAGCACCAUCAUUAGCAAUGUUCAAUAGCUCAUUGCGUCUACAUGAAUUGGCCUCUCAGAUCUGUGAUUCUACUCUUCUAAAAUUAUUCACUCUAGUCCUCAUACAAUGUGUGAGAAAUCUGACAAAAUAUUUUUAAACCUUGAGAAACAUACUAACAAAUAGGUGGCUCGCACAAACUUGCAAGUAGAGAGAGAGAGAGAGAGAUGGGGCUGCACCGUUCGUUACGCAUGAAUAUUUCUUGUGGGCAUUGUAUCAAACAGAUGUCCUACAACUUGAUGCAAAAGUAAAUCUCACGUGGGCAUGUGUCUGGGUAAAAUAACGCACCAAAGGAAGAGACGGAGCUUUCACCAGCAGGAGACAGGGAGGAGGAGAUGGAGCCGGGAGGAGGUGUGUUCCAACGUGACCGGGGGCGGCGCGACUCGUCAGGAGUCGAGCAGGGAGGAGUCACUGGGGCAUGUGGGCUAGAGGAGGCGAGCGGCACGUUGCCGGGAGGAGGAAAGGGACGCGCGGCUGGGGGCAGCGCACAUCGCCGGCAGCAUAGCCGCAAGGAGGCGCGGGGCGGAGCCAUUGUCACGGAGCAGCUCGUGGCCUGGAGUCGGAGCAGGAGAAUGAUGGGAU
rnacentral:lncRNA from 1 species